AGUUAUUCAAUUAUGUCCUAAAGACACCAGAUCUCACCUGCUCUAUGAAGCUAAGUAAGGUCAGCUCUGGUUAAUACUUAGAUGGGAGAACACCAACAAAUACUAGGUGCUAUGUUUC
rnacentral:rRNA from 11 species